GGAGGAUUCGCAUAAUUGGCAUUGCAGCGGUCUUGAAACCCGCCGGGUUCGCGCCUGUGGGGGUUCGAGUCCCUCAUCCUCCG
rnacentral:tRNA from 1 species